rnacentral:rRNA from 1 species
UGCUAGUCGAGUGAUUCAGGCAAAACGAGUCACGGCACACAGCUCAGUAACACGUGGCUAAUCUGCCCUUAGGACGAGAACAACCCCGGGAAACUGGGGCUAACUCUCGAUAGGCGAAGAACUCUGGAAUGAGUCUUUACCUAAAUAGUGCAACGUUAUCCUCGUUGCAUCGCCUAAGGAUGAGGCCGCGACCGAUCAGGUUGUUGGCGAGGUAAUGGCUCACCAAGCCUUUUACCGGUGCGGGCCGUGAGAGCGGGAGCCCGGAGAUGGGCACUGAGACAAGGGCCCAGGCCCUACGGGGCGCAGCAGUCGCGAAAACUUUGCAAUAAGCGAAAGCUUGACAGGGCUAUCCCGAGUGCCAUCCGCUGAGGAAGGCUUUUACCCAGUCUAGAACGCUGGGGGAAUAAGGAGAGGGCAAGUCUGGUGUCAGCCGCCGCGGUAAUACCAGCUCUCCGAGUGGUGUGGAUGUUUAUUGGGCCUAAAGCAUCCGUAGCUGGCUAGGUCAGUCCCUUGUUAAAUCCACCGAAUUAAUCGUUGGAUUGCGGGGGAUACUGCUUGGCUAGGGGACGAGAGAGGCAGACGGUAUUUUCGGGGUAGGGGUGAAAUCCUAUAAUCCCGGGAAGACCACCAGUGGCGAAGGCUGUCUGCUAGAACGCGCCCGACGGUGAGGGAUGAAAGCUGGGGGAGCGAACCGGAUUAGAUACCCGGGUAGUCCCAGCUGUAAACGAUGCAGACUAGGUGUUUGGACGGCCACGUGCCGUUCUAGUGCCGCAGGGAAGCUGUUAAGUCUGCCGCCUGGGGAGUACGAUCGCAAGAUUGAAACUUAA